ensembl:lncRNA
UCUCUAAUCAUUCUUCCGUUUCGAACGAAAUUUUCAAUUUGUCUGUAUACUACAUGUCACAUGGAGCCAUAUUCGGACUUCUCUUCUAAGACAAAGAACAUCUGCAUGUAGGUUAAUCAUUCUACAUGCGUUCAGUCUUAAAUACUCGACACGUGUAAAUAAACAACGGCAUUAUGAUUUCAGAGGUCUCGAAAUGUAAAUGUGUCACUUUUCAUUUUAAUAUGGGCUAUUUCAUAAAUAAAAGUGACUAAAGUCAGGUGUGUGAGAUUCUGUUUGAGAUCAGCACCACUCAGCAUCAAACAAAACCUUUCUUAUAUAUUUAUUUUAAAGGAUUUCAAUGAUGAUAAUUAUGCAAUGAUCAAUUAAACUGUUGCAUUAAAACAAAAAUACCCUGAGAAAAGAAAUUAAUAAAUAUUAUUGUGAACACUGAUCGUUUAAGUCUCAGUUAACUUGGCUUUUGAUUUUUAAGAAUUGCCGAGGACCCUUUCAAUUAAAUAUAUAAUUAUAACUGAAUUUAUUUCAUAUUAUUCUUUAUACCUGCCUCCACUGUCCUAAUAACUUGACUUUAGCAGAUGUCCCAAUUGUUCUGAUGACAAACAUGGCUGCUAUCAUAUGCCACGCCCACCACUCAAUAAUCCUUAAAAUACUACCUAAAUUUGACCCACAAGUCGCAAUAUUUAAUUUUUUUGACAAGACUACCUAUUACAGAAGAUAUUUACAAUGUGCCAUGGCAUGUAAAACUUCAUUUGAGCCUUCAGUCUCACUGCAAAGUUGAAAUAGUGCUUCUAAGUGAGACUCCAACCACCAACACCAAAAGGAUGAUAAAAUGUUAAAAAUAUAUAUUUGGUGGAUGUCAAAAUGUGAAAUAACACAACUUUCUAUUAAAAGAGAUGUUGUUAUAUGCACUGUAAUAGCGAAUAUCACUCAGAAAUAAGUCUUUUUACGAAGCCUUUGAAUAUUCAAAUUGAAAGUAUCGCGCAAUCAAAUCAUUGUCAAAUCAUUGAGUUCUUGGGGUUUUAAAUAGUAGGGAUGAGGGCAGAAAAACUCAAACUAAAAUAUCCCUAGCUAUAUUACUGUAUAAUUGUAUGUCCUGAGAGUGUUUUGAGGUUACUUUAUUGAGACUUUUUAAGACUUUUGUGAAUAAUUCGUUCUUGCCCAUAUAACAGAGCAAAGAACUGAAGUUGGGGUAUUUUACUGUAGCUCUGCCAGAGAUUUCCUCCUUUUCAGACCAAUAUGUCUGGUAAGUAAAAAUUUAUUUUUCUUUCAUGUAAGAUGUUUUCUUCUUCAGCAACCUGAAAAACAUUGAGAGAGAAAAAAUGUAUUAAUUAAAACAAUUAAACACAUUGGUAAACAUUUCUUGGAAUUGUACAGGUCAAAACUUAAGUCUUACUAAUAUUUUAAAACAGCAAACAUAUGAAGGAUUACGUUUAAACAAAUUGGUGCAUUUUUAUGUAUACAGUUAAUUGAAUAGAUGUGCUACAUUAAAUGUAUUUCUUGCAGUUUAAUGGGAAUAAUGGGCUAAUAUUUCUAGUGAUUAAUUCAAGUUCAAGCUUUAUUCAUAGCUUGAAUUAUCUGUCUGCUUUGUAUUUUUUGCUCAGCUUUUCUUCAAGCAAAACUGAACAUGGAUUUAUCUGAAGAUUUAUUCACUGUGUUAUAUUUUAAACAUGAACUGAAUGCAAUGCUUUUCCUGAAUAACCAGCAGUAGGCUGAACGAUGACUGAAUAUAAUUUCGACAUUUUAACCAGAAUCCAAACUUUGCUUCAGAGCGCAUAUGAAUACUUCUUAAAAUAGCUAGGUUUAGCUGUCAAUAAGCUCAUCAAAACACUGCCGAGGGACGUUUUUGCAGUUUUCUCAAGCUCAGCGUAGCCAACAUUUUGCCCUCUGUAAACUCAACUGCCUCCAUGAACUCAGCCAUGGCGUGGCGUUGUUUUGAAUCACUUAUGUUCAGACAGAAUUUUUAUAUAUACUAGCUAUAUUAACGCGGAUCAGGAAGACGUCCCACUGUGUAUGUCUUCACGGGGCUGAACAACCAAUUAAAAAAUUAGGAAAGAAGGACAACUAUUUUCCAUCUUCCAUUUCCAUUUUUUACACAUUUCAUUUUGGGGGAAGUUAUUAGGCGCGGCUUCACUCAUAUAGGAAGAGAUAAGAGGACUGCCCAUUAACAAUAUCAAGAAAUAGCCUAACUUCACAUUUACCGAGCGGAUAGCAAAAACUAACUUGGACCCCGGACGUUUUUAGGGAAUUUAAAACAACUGCUGCUUAUCGACAGCGCCCUCGUAAACAAAUUGGGCGUCGGUCCAGCAAAUCUAAACGGGUUUUCUGUUGGACACCGGCUUGAGUUAACCAUCUAUUUUUCAAUGUACAUUCUUUGUUCUCAUGUAUGCGGCUUUUACUGUAAUAAGAGGGUUUACUUACGGCUGUCAUUCGUAGAGGCGUCUACAGAGGAAGCUUCUCUUUCUCCUCGUCUCGCAAGCAGAGGUUUACAGUGUUUUCACUUCGCUCCCACGAACCCAACUUUGUGCGCCUUUGUGCUCUCGAGUAAAACUGUCAAUAAUUAGGCUAGAUUAGGCUACUCGCCAGUUUAGUCGGGUUUUAAUGUACAGCUACAAGAAACUACACUGCUCGAACUCCAAAUUAAAACCGUCGUCCCGAGGCAAAGAUGGCUGGAGAGCAUGUUUCUCGAAAUUCUCUACAGUCUAUUGUAAUCCGAAACUAACCCAUUCACUGCCGGACUGUGCGCUCAGACAAAUGCAGUCUUAACUGGGAAGACGGGCAUAGUUUUUAAUCUUGUGUGAUAUCUUAUCUUAUAGCUACUUAUUGGCGUUUUUUCAAUGGCAUAUGGAAAAAAGCAAAUGCUAUCUGUGGAUGGUGAAACAUGUAGAGGGGCAGUGACAAGGAUGUCAAAGAUUAUAAAUAGGAGAAAUAUUCUAAAGAUCUACUAAAUAGAUGUGCCAAGGACUUGAUGUGGCUUCAUUCAUUUUCAUUAAAAACAUACAUACAUACAUACAUACAUACAUACAUACAUAUAUAUAUAUAUAUAUAUAUAUAUAUAUAUAUAUAUAUAUAUAUAUAUAUAUAUAUAUAUAUAUAUAUAUAUAUAUAUAUAAUAUUUUCGUUUUAUGACUCUAAAAUAACAAGUGGUGUAAUGCAUUAAGUAAAAAGUGGCAAAAUAUUACUUUCCUUGCAACUUCAUUUUGACAACCAGAUCGUUUUUUUUUUUUCACAAGUUUUAAACACAUUUUACACAACGUAAAACAACUAAAUUGUUUCCCACACAGACAUUCAUUUUCCCCCAAUAAAAAUAUUUAAUUUAUAUAUAUGUACUCUAUAUCAAAAUUUAGAUAAUGAAUGCAUGUUCUUCAUAGAAGAGAUUUAUUCAGUUCUUGUGUUUUAUUGACAUAUCAGAUCCAAGCAAAAGUCACUUCACUGACCCAGAAAUAUUGUCUUAAAUAAAAGAUGAAUGUAAAAACUCUGAUAUCAAUAGGCUACGUUAACAUUUUCCUUUAUGCAAAAUAAAAAUAGUGUUUUGUUUUGUUUUUUUCUGCACAGACUGCUUUACAGAUAAUCUGAAUUUGGACAAAAAUAUUUAAAAUUAAUGCCAGUGGUGAAUGAAAAUGAAAUAAAACUUUCUGGCUUUUUUUUUAUUCUAGCAGAUAAGCCCAAGGUGUACCAGGGUGUGCGUGUGAAGACCACUGUUAAGGAGUUACUGCAGAAGCACAGAGCCCUGCAGGCACAGAAAACCGCAACGGUAAACAAUGGUGUUGAAUACCAAUAAAGCUCAUAAGUCAGACACUACUGACGUAUAAGUUUAUGGUAGCCAAACUAAAACGAAGCCUGGUCAGUGCAAUACCAAAUUUAAUCACCAAGCAUAUGUCUUAAAGCACCACGCCCCCUCAGGCCUAUCUGUGCUCGAGGUUUCAGUCGAUACCACAUAACUGUACAAACUAACUGUUUUUCAACUGAACGAAAGCAGUAAUGAAUAUUUUCCCUUGCUUCUCUCUCUCUUUUACAAUUGCAAUCCUACAGAAAUCACAAGCCAUGGCUGCUCGCGAUGUCUGCUCUACGACCAUGAAUACCCACCUUGAUGUCUUUGGAAUGCAAGCUCCAGAGCCCUAUUUCCAGACACGUCCCUUUACCGAAAAUGUCAAUAUCCCGAUGGAGAAUGCUUAUGAUCAUCAACAAAUGAUGCACCUGAUGCCACAUGAGACUUUCAGCGGCAGUAAUUUCGUGUGUCCCACUUCUUCGCAGUGGUCUAAUGGAUAUAUUCCUUCUAACACGGACCUCUAUGGUACUAGCCUGGUAUCGAGAUCACCCUCUGAUACUUUCAAUCUCCCAAGUCCAGUCGACUACAACAGUUACUCUCCCCCUCAGUCCAACUCUUCAUCUUCUUCGUGCUACAGCUCUCCAACGCGGAUGGAUUUGAGCUCUAGUUUCUCUCCAGAAAAUUACCACUAUCAGCAUUGCAACCUACAGAAUUGCUUUUGUCUUUCGCAUUGGUCCAAUCUGCAGGAAGGCAUGGCAACCUCGGAGUUUGCGCCCUACGGCUCUUCAGACUGUUUGUAUUCAUAUGGCGACGACAGUUAUUUCAGAAGGGAUACUUCAAACUCAGAGAUGUGUUUCUUAUAAAAUGCAUUUUGAAGCUCUUUGCGCGAAAAUUCAGUGUCAUAAUUGAUUUAUUUGAAUGCAUUUGUUGUAUUUUAGAUUAGAUAAAAGAACAAGCAGUGAUAGAAUGCAUGAUUUACAAAUUAUUCAUUUAUCUUUUCUACAAUAAACAUAUUUUUUUCGUAAUUAUACUGGCAUUGGGGAAAUAUUUCAGAUUUACAGCGUGCAGUUUCUGUUUUCACUCUUGAAAUGUACAUCGGAGCUUCGAUAGUUUUUUUUUUUUUUACGUACAAAUACAGCUGUGGUACUGAGGGCUCAUUUAUUGUUUUGUAUAUCAACAUUCGACAUUAUGAAAAAUACCAGAAGAAAGCUUAACAAUGUGUUAUUUAUAAAAACAGAUUUUGUCCUGUAACUACAGCUGUUAACAUUUUUAUUUGCUCCUAACAAAUACACUGUAAAUGUCAACUCACACCGAAAACAUAAGUUUAAUCGUCUUCAUUAUUGUAAAGUAAAAACAAAGCAUGCAUUGCACUUUUUCAACCACUUUACUGAUUAAAUAUAAAGCUCACAAAAUUAGUUCAUUUGCAGAAGUUGUUUCUUAUAAGAAUAUUUGAUGAUUUAAGAUUUAUCUCACACCACAAACUGAUCAUGGAACAAGAAGUCAUUUUCACACACUUUCACCAAAAGAUAAAAUGGAAUGAAAGUCGCAGCCCCGUUUACUGAAGUUCAGAAGAAGCUAAAUUAAAAAAAAGACAACAUGAAUCCCACAAACUGCAUUUAAUGUAGCGAUAUCUCAAGAGCUUAACAAUUCCACAUGUAUAAAAUGGUAAACUGCUCAGGGACAAUCGUAUCAUAUAUAAAACAUGAUUUCUAAACGAUAAGCAGUAUAGGGCCUAUACACACUCAAAGGCUAUUCACUUUAAGUUUUCCAAAAAUAUAAAAUAGAAAUCAAUUCAUGCUUGGAUAUCUGUUUUUAAACAUGUCGAGACAUCAAUAUGUGUCUUUAACUUUGGAACAUGGCACGACUUAAUCAGUAAACGGUCACGCAAUGGUGUAUUCAUUAACUAUAGAAAUCGGGAAUGUUUUGCAGUCAAACAGAAGGGUGUGUACAGUGAUCCAGAAUUGGCAGACGCACACGCUUUGUACCCGCUGCUCACCAACUUGGAAUUCCCCUCGGGAAAGCAAAGGACAAGGAAGUCUUCCUUUAGCCACACGUUGACUUCUUUUUUACUUGAACUGCUUUCCCUCCCACUUCUGCACAACGUGAUGUCUGAUCGCGGAACUGAUCCCAGCACACACGUCUUCGUCUGACAAAAUAAAUAAAUAAAAUAAUAACAAACAAGGUUAUUGUUAUUUUUCUCAUAGAGUGCAGUCCAGCAAUAUAAUUUCCAUCAGACUUUAAGCACGCGGAUGGACUAGUCCGGGAAGCUCCAGUUCAAACUGGUUACGUUUUUGUAGGGAAACGAAAAGGAUUUCUGACUUUUUCACCUCAG